rnacentral:misc_RNA from 1 species
GCAAAAAGGUCGUUGUAAAAUUUUGGGCCUCGCUCCAUUAACUACCCAUCUCCCCUGGGGACUUUUUAUGUCCUUCCGCACGUUUUACAACACUUCAAAAGGUGAUGAAUGGAAACUUAUUACAACAAUAAAAAAUCUUUCCACCACGGUUUUGCCGGCCUCCCCA